GUAAUGCAUUCCCAGUGCCCCUGGGUCUGGUCAAACAAAAAUGCAUUUAUCUUUUGGUAGUAGGUGUGUACUUUCUGAUGCUGGCUGCAUAAUGUAUAGCACAAACAAGUAUAAUGCUGAAAGAGAAGCUACAGCAGUAGAAAGGAAUGUAUCCUGAAUGUAAAGCAUUAUUUCAGCUUGUUAAGAUUUUUGGCAGUAUAUGUAACAAUAAGAAGACAUUUCUGAUUUACUCAGGCUACUGUGCCUUUUAAGUUGAGGUGAAGCCAAUUCCUGUGAAGUACAAUCAUUUCUGACAUGACUUGUUUUUCUUUUAGUUGUCCUCAAGGGGGAAAACUGAUACCAGCACUGUACUAAUUUGUGUCAUGAUGAAUGAGGCCAGAAACCAGAAAAAAAACAAACAGAAAUUUGCUCUGGUUGCUGUUAGCAGUUUGUUUUAAUUUAUGUGUGCCACCGGUGUGAACAUUUUAGGAAAAAUCAUGUAACCACAAUAAAAGUGGAUACCAAAUUUACCAAA